rnacentral:rRNA from 1 species
ACUGCUCAGUAACACGUGGAUAACCUGCCCUUGGGUCCGGCAUAACCCCGGGAAACUGGGGAUAAUUCCGGAUAACGCACAUAUGCUGGAAUGCUUUAUGCGUAAAAUGGAUUCGUCUGCCCAAGGAUGGGUCUGCGGCCUAUCAGGUAGUAGUGGGUGUAAUGUACCUACUAGCCAACAACGGGUACGGGUUGUGAGAGCAAGAGCCCGGAGAUGGAUUCUGAGACAUGAAUCCAGGCCCUACGGGGCGCAGCAGGCGCGAAAACUUUACAAUGCGGGAAACCGUGAUAAGGGGACACCGAGUGCCAGCAUCAUAUGCUGGCUGUCCAGGUGUGUAAAAUACACCUGUUAGCAAGGGCCGGGCAAGACCGGUGCCAGCCGCCGCGGUAACACCGGCGGCCCGAGUGGUGAUCGUGAUUAUUGGGUCUAAAGGGUCCGUAGCCGGUUUGGUCAGUCCUCCGGGAAAUCUGACGGCUUAACCGUUAGGCUUUCGGGGGAUACUGCCAGGCUUGGAACCGGGAGAGGUAAGAGGUACUACAGGGGUAGGAGUGAAAUCUUGUAAUCCCUGUGAGACCACCUGUGGCGAAGGCGUCUUACCAGAACGGGUUCGACGGUGAGGGACGAAAGCUGGGGGCACGAACCGGAUUAGAUACCCGGGUAGUCCCAGCCGUAAACGAUGCUCGCUAGGUGUCAGGCAUGGCGCGACCGUGUCUGGUGCCGCAGGGAAGCCGUGAAGCGAGCCACCUGGGAAGUACGGCCGCAAGGCUGAAACUUAAAGGAAUUGGCGGGGGAG